UCCACUGUUCUAUGCAUUACCUCGCAUUUUUAUGUUGCUCUAAGUGGUGUUCCAGUCUUCUAUGCAUUCAAUUCAGGCACUUAACACUAGACAAGUGAGAGAUGACUCUUAUUGCUCAAUUUAUAAAUCAGCGGGAAAUGAAUAUGCUGCUCUUCGGGAAUUAAAGUAGCUGUGGACAGUGCAACAGCACCCUCUUCUGGAGACUGUUAAAUCCUACAAAAUUCUAGGAGUAGUUGUUCACGUCUCAGAUUUUCUGAGGUUUGACAAGUGCCAUGUUGGCAGCAGACAGAAGGCUUUAGAAUCAGGUGUUCUCAUCAGUCAGUUCCACUUUCAGGUGUUUCCAUUCUCAAAAAAAAACAAACAAACAGAAAAAAGGAACAAACGACACAUUAAAAGUCACUCAACAAGCCAUUUCUGCUGCAUCUGCCAUUGCCAUUUGGAUUAUUUUGUAUCUGUGGUAUAAAUGCACAUACCAGCUACUGUCUGGAGAGUAAAAGGCAGGCAUGAAGAAUAAUGAUUUCCUGCUCACCAGAGGACAGCUUAUAGCUUUUCCACAUUGAACCAAACAGAAAGGAAACAUUCAUCAAACAGUAUGGCUGAUGUCUGUCCAUUUUGUCCAAGCAGCCCACUGAAUCUUCAGCUGUUGUCAAACUGGCUUAAAGAUGUCAUGCAUUCUGAAAGAAAAUAAAAUGACUAA